CUGAGGGAGCCAAGAGACAAGUUGUGGAAAAAAACCCGAUAAAACCAGACGUGUUCUGGAUGCCACAGGAUUCCUGUGAUUCCAACAGAUUACUUCUGUCUGGACAUGUUCCAGAUGAGGUCUGAUGCUUUUGGAGGGAGCAAGAAAAUGGGCAGAGAGGGUUAACCAUGAACUCAACAUUGAUGACAUCAAGAUCCACA